rnacentral:rRNA from 1 species
CCUACGGGGGGCAGCAGUGGGGAAUAUUGCACAAUAGGGGAAACCCUGAUGCAGCAACGCCGCGUGGGUGAAGAAGUAUUUCGUUAUGUAAAGCCCUAUCAGCAGGGAAGAAAAUGACGGUACCUGAGUAAGAAGCUCCGGCUAAAUACGUGCCAGCAGCCGCGGUAAUACGUAGGGAGCAAGCGUUAUCCGGAUUUACUGGGUGUAAAGGGAGCGUAGACGGCAGGGCAAGUCUGGUGUGAAAGCCGGGGGCUCAACCCCCGGACUGCACUUGAAACUGCCAGGCUGGAGUGCCGGAGAGGUAA